CAGCCUUGUGAGACCCUAAACAGAGAACCGAGUUGAGCCAUGCCAGACUUCUGACCCACAGAAAUGGGAGAUAAUUCAUUUGUGUUCUUUUAAGUCACUGCAUUUAUGGUAAUUUGCUCUGCAACCAUAGAAAACUAAUGCAGUAACAGAAUAUGAUGAGUCUUUGUAUCUUAUGGGACCCAGGCCUCAGCUGUGGUGGGAGGCCCCAGCGUCCCGCGGACCUGGUGGUGUACAGCGGAUGCCAGUGGUAAAUGGUGAAGCAUGGUAAGGAAAGACUUGUGCAAUGUUGAACAGAAGUGAUGAGAAUGAACAUCCUUGCCUUAAUCCCAGUAUUGCAGGAAAGGAAUCCAUGGUUUACCAGAAAGAGCAUCAGAAACAGUUGGCUACACUAUAGCUACAUCCAGGAGUGGCCCUGAAGGACAGUGGAAAGGGCAAAUCUUUCUAAUAAGCAGAACUGUGAGUGGUGUACCCGGGCAUCUGUUUUGUGUAGAGGACUUGUUCCAGGUGAGAAUAUGUACUGUUUCCUGGGCAGUGGCUAAUGGCUUGGCCAUCUGUUCAAAAGCCUGGAUGGAAAAGGACUGGACAAUCGGAGCCAAGGAAGUCUGGUGUAGAGAGCCUCAGCCAGCACCACGAAAAGGACUGCUAUAGUAUCCAGCGACUUCAUGGUGGUGAAGGUGCGAGAGAGGGCUCAUGACAAAGGAACGCCCUGGUCUUAUCACAUACUACACCACGCUGCAGCCUCAUCCAUGACACCAGCCUCACGGAAUGGUGGAAUGGUCUUCUAAAGACACAGCUAAACUCAGCAAGACUGCUCUGGCCUGCCAAAGCCCCUGCUCCCGCAAUGUCCUCCAGCGCUUACCCCAGAAGGCAGGGCAAGUGUAGGGUCAGCUGGCUCGCCUCCCUCACUGAUCAUCCUUUGUGGCAGUUGUCCAAUGUCUGAGAAGCUGCUUCCCACAACUUUUUUCCUGGCUUCGUGGAACACGGAUAGUCAAUCUUUUGGAAGAUUAGCCCUGAGCUAACAUCUGCUGCCAAUUCUCCUCUUCCUGCCAAGGAAGACAGGCCCCGAGCCAACAUCUGUGCCCAUCCUCCUCUCCUUUUCAUGUGGGAUGCCUGCCACAGCAUGGCUUGACAAGCACUGCGUAGGUCCACAACCAGGAUCUGAACCAGCAAACCCAGGGCUGCAAAGCGGAGAAUGUGAACCUAACCCCUGUGCGACCUGACCAGCCCUUGAAAUUUCAAUCUUUUGAAGUUUGUUGAGAUGAUUUGUGAUCAAUCAUAUGGUCGGUUUUGGUAAAUGUUCUGAGGGUACCUUUAAAAACUAUGUAUUCUGAAAGUUUUGGAUGUUUUAUAUCGUCUUAUUCAUACGUACAGCACCAAUAUAUAGCAAAUAGCCGGAGCCCAAGGCAUACCAAAUUGACUAACUCAAAGGUUUUAUCCUAUUGUGGUGAUUCCAGACCAAGCAAGAGAGGAGGAGGAUGACAUCACAGGGGUGCAGGCAGAGAGAAAACUAUUCCAGGGAGCACGGACCUCACAGAGGAACCCCAAGUCACAGCAUUCAGGUUCCCCUAUUCCAACCAAUAUUAAUGCCAAUGCUUUAUGUGAUGUAAAUUAUCCCAAUGUUUUUCUUCCUCUGUUUCUACCAAUUUUCUCUUCAUUGGUUAUAAGCUCCGUAUCAAGAGUGUUUGACAGUGGGGUACUUGAGAUGGGAAAUAUCUUGGGAAAUCUUGAGAAAAGUUAAUGACGUUGAUUUAUAAAGCUCAUAGAGACAUAUAAGAAAUGGUUAAUUUUAUUUCUCCAUUUUUCUCCAAAAAUUCAUAAUUGCUUCUGAGAUUACAUGAGUUUAGAAGAUAUCUACUAUCUCUACCCAAAGGUCCCAUGUUUCAAGUAGAAUCAUUUUUAAUUUUCCCAGUUCUAGUGUCACUUUCUAUUUCUUACAAACAUUGCUCAAGGUCACAACUGUUAGUAACGUACAUCUUCUAACACAUUUAACUUCCCUAUCUAACCCUUCUGCCACUCUUGUGCUGGACCCUGAAAGUUUGAUUAUAGGAGGAAGCGAGGAAAGAGAUCUAGACAAGGCUGAUAGCACAUUCCGGAGGCUUAUAAGCUGCCUCGUGCGCCCCGCUGCAGAUCUCUUCAACCUCCGAGUCCAGCCACAGCUCUAGUGGACAGUUCUGGGCCGGUUUCACCCUGCUCUGUGCAGACAGUGCUGCCCUUCAGGGACCAAGAACCGAGCUUCCUGUCCCCAGGCUUCUCUGAUGCGGCACUGUGUGACGCUCUGGUACCAGGAGGCUCUCCUGUAUUUGCAACCCAUAGGGAUGGGGGAAUUAACGUCCCAUGGGAGCAGCCCUCAGCACACAGUACAGAGAAAUGCUUCCCCUGUUCGUCCCUCGGGCAGCCAGUUCUGAGAUAAAGUUUAAUAAGAAUCCUGAGGAGGUUCUGCGCUAAGUAACCACAACAGUAGCGGACCACGUGAUAACACGACCUUGUCUUGCCUGACUCUCUGCCCCCCCAGCUCCCUGCACUCCCCUCUCUCAUUCGUGCUCCUUAGGAUCACAUUCCCAAAGAGCAUGCAGCUACCUCUGUCUCAGGCUCUGCUUUCAAGAAUAACCUUGAUUAAGACAGGAGGUAAGUAGGUUGCUGGUAGGUUAUAUAAUGCAGGAAUACAAUCUGCCUUGACUCUGCACGUGCUACAAAGAAACACCUAGUCAGCUGGCAGCACAGUUUAUGGUAAUUUCGACGAUUUUCCAUCUUUUUCCUUUUUGAAAGUUCAUCAUCCAUCCUGAAGCCUGAUGGCCUGAAGAAAAAAAAGUUGGUACAAAUUAGAUUCUAAUUGAAUAGGCAAAUUUCUUUCAUGACAG
rnacentral:lncRNA from 1 species